GCCCUUUGUACACACCGCCCGUCGCUACUACCGAUUGAAUGGCUCAGUGAGGCGUUCGGACUGGCUCGGGGAGGUUGGCAACGACCACCCCAAGCCGGAAAGUUCGUCAAACUCGGUCAUUUAGAGGAAGUAAAAGUCGUAACAAGGUCUCCGUAGGUGAACCUGCGGAGGGAUCAUUACACAAAUAACAUAUGAAGGCUUGUACGCGGCUGUGCCCUUCUGGGUGCAGCGUCUGCUGCGGCUGGAUUAUUUAUUUUCACCCUUGUCUUUUGCGCACUUGUUGUUUCCUGGGCGGGUUCGCCCGCCACCAGGACCACAUGAUAAACCUUUUUUAUGCAGUUGCAAUCAGCGUCAGUACAACAAAAUGUAAAUCAUUUACAACUUUCAACAACGGAUCUCUUGGUUCUGGCAUCGAUGAAGAACGCAGCGAAAUGCGAUACGUAGUGUGAAUUGCAGAAUUCAGUGAAUCAUCGAAUCUUUGAACGCACAUUGCGCCCUUUGGUAUUCCAAAGGGCAUGCCUGUUCGAGCGUCAUUUGUACCCUCAAGCUUUGCUUGGUGUUGGGCGUCUUGUCUUUGCUCCGCCAAAGACUCGCCUUAAAACGAUUGGCAGCCGGCCUACUGGUUUCGCAGCGCAGCACAUUUUUGCGCUUGCAAUCAGCAAAAGAGGACGGCACUCCAUCAAGACUCCUUCUCACGUUUGACCUCGGAUCAGGUAGGGAUACCCGCUGAACUUAAGCAUAUCA
rnacentral:sRNA from 1 species